rnacentral:lncRNA from 1 species
AAAGAAAAAAACCUGACUUGAGGUAAGAGUGCUGUCUCAUGGGACCUUCCAGGCUUAGCAGGGGGCUAUUGUACACCAAAUGAAUCCCAGGGGAUGAGGAUGAACUUUAGGUAGGUGUUAACCUGUUGCCCCUAAGUUUUCUCUUCUCUACGUGAAAGUACCUCAGUUCCUUUGCCUGAUCCUAGCACACUAGUGUAAGAUUAAAAUGAAUAUCCAAUAACUCCAAGUAUUAUAUUUUAUAAGAUGUAUUAAUACUACUUGAAGUAGAGGAAAAGUAUAGCCUGAGUAAAGACAAGUUCACCGGACCGCAAAAGCAGGAGAAGAGAGCUUGAAAGGAGGCACGUGGUUACAGAAACCUUCUCUCCAAAACCUAAGGAUGUAAGAUUAAUAUUCUCAUGAUAAAUGAAACCAGAAGGCCAAAGGCAAUUUGCAGCAGAAUGGAAGGAUGACUCAUAGUUCCUCCUUGGAGAAGCAAACAAAGGAUUUACUGGAGCUGAUUUCAUCAUGUACCCAAAGGCAACAAGAAGCAUCAUUUCAUGGGGUGCUUGGUUAUCUUGUCUUUGUUUAAGAUAAACAUAACCAAAAAGACUACCAUGAAGAUAAUUACAGUUUAUGUGUCAACCUCCAUUACAGAGGAUAAAAUAGAGUUAUCAGAACCCAAUGGCAAGACAGAAGUUGGGAUGACUGCUGAUGGCAUGGGAUACAGUGGAUGACCUUGGCAUUUUUGAUGGUUGACCAGACUCUAAGUGUUCCACUGUGCCUGCUACAUCCACCUUCAUGGCUAUUGGAAUAAAUUGUUUUCAUAAUCCA